ACUACAUUUCUGAUCAGAGACAACAUGCGAUUCGAGCUUACAGGAAUGCACUCUUCGUUUACAGAGAAAAUGGUUGGAGUUAUAUAUCUGAUCAUGUUCACUACAAUGUUGGAAGUUCUUGAUUUGGCUAUCAAGCAUAUGCUGGAGGUUUUGGCUUGCAGUCAUCUGUCCCUAGCCACACAAAAUGUAUUCCUUAAUGAAUUUUCC